GUUUGAUCAUGGCUCAGAACGAACGCUGGCGGCAGGCCUAACACAUGCAAGUCGAGCGCGUGUAGCAAUACACGAGCGGCGCACGGGUGAGUAGCGCGUGGGAAUCUACCCUAUGGUGGGGGACAACCUCGGGAAGCUGAGGCUAAUACCGCAUAAGUCCUUCGGGAGAAAGACUUCGGUCGCCAUAGGAGGAGCCCGCGUCCGAUUAGCUAGUUGGUGAGGUAACGGCUCACCAAGGCGACGAUCGGUAGCUGGUCUAAGAGGACGGCCAGCCACACUGGGACUGAGACACGGCCCAGACUCCUACGGGAGGCAGCAGUGGGGAGUAUUGGACAAUGGGGGAAACCCUGAUCCAGCCAUGCCGCGUGAGUGAUGAAGGCCUUCGGGUUGUAAAGCUCUUUUAGCGGGGAAGAUGAUGACGGUACCCGCAGAAUAAGCCCCGGCUAACUUCGUGCCAGCAGCCGCGGUAAGACGAAGGGGGCUAGCGUUGUUCGGAAUUACUGGGCGUAAAGGGCGCGUAGGUGGCUCCGCAAGUCAGGCGUUAAAGACCCAGGCUCAACCUGGGGAAUGCGCUUGAGACUGCAGAGCUUGAGACCGGAAGAGGAGAGUGGAAUUCCCAGUGUAGAGGUGAAAUUCGUAGAUAUUGGGAAGAACACCAGUGGCGAAGGCGGCUCUCUGGUCCGGUUCUGACACUAAGGCGCGAAAGCGUGGGGAGCGAACAGGAUUAGAUACCCUGGUAGUCCACGCUGUAAACGAUGCGUGCUAGACGUUGGCAGGCCUAGCCUGUCGGUGUCGCAGCUAACGCGUUAAGCACGCCGCCUGGGGAGUACGGCCGCAAGGUUAAAACUCAAAUGAAUUGACGG
rnacentral:rRNA from 1 species